CACGUAGGGUGCGAGCGUUGUCCGGAAUUAUUGGGCGUAAAGAGCUCGUAGGCGGUCUGUCGCGUCUGCUGUGAAAAUCCAGGGCUCAACCCUGGACCUGCAGUGGGUACGGGCAGACUAGAGUGCGGUAGGGGAGAUCGGAAUUCCUGGUGUAGCGGUGAAAUGCGCAGAUAUCAGGAGGAACACCGGUGGCGAAGGCGGUUCUCUGGGCAUGACCUGACGCUGAGGAGCGAAAGUGUGGGGAGCGAACAGG
rnacentral:rRNA from 1 species